rnacentral:tRNA from 1 species
UACGUCUUAGUAUAAUUGUACGUGAAUUUUUGGAAUUUAAAGUGAUAAUUGAAUUUGUUAGAUGUAU